GAAGGGGUACAUUUAGUCUAAGAAAGCUCCAUUAGAGGUACAUCUAGGAUUAAAGCUUAUUGAUAGAGAUCAUAGCAACAAGGAUUUGGCCAGGUGACAAGCUAAAGAAAGAGAAAAAGAGAAGAGAAAGGUUUUCUAAGCUAAAGAAGAGAAUUACCAAAAGAGAUCUAAUUUUUCUUUGAUGGGGUGUUUAUAUAGAGGAGAAGGCUACAAUUUGACGGUUGAGAUAAGGCUUUCUAGAGUUUUUUCAAGAUUGGAUGGCUUAGGAGGCCCAAAUAUCAAAAGAUGAUAGACUAUAUGGAUCGCACAUGGAUUAUGGCCGAUGGAGGAGUAAGAUUGAUUUUGAAAAGUACAAACCAACCCAAAGGUCAUUAUUCUUGGUUGAUGAUAUGGCUUGGUUGGUUUACUGAAUCAAUUUUGAGUAUCACAAAAGUGGGUGUGAAUUUGGUUGUCAAAAAUCUUAUCAAGUAGGCUAUUUUGGGUCAUUAAAAUUUUGUAGGCUUAAAGUAGUAUGUCGAAGAACAUGUGACCAAAACGUUCACUUAUUUAGUGGUCAUCUAACCCAAAACUAAAUUUGGUCA
rnacentral:lncRNA from 1 species